CCUGGCUCAGGACGAACGCUGGCGGCGUGCCUAAUACAUGCAAGUAGAACGCUGAAGAGAGGAGCUUGCUCUUCUUGGAUGAGUUGCGAACGGGUGAGUAACGCGUAGGUAACCUGCCUUGUAGCGGGGGAUAACUAUUGGAAACGAUAGCUAAUACCGCAUAACAAUGGAUGACACAUGUCAUUUAUUUGAAAGGGGCAAUUGCUCCACUACAAGAUGGACCUGCGUUGUAUUAGCUAGUAGGUGAGGUAACGGCUCACCUAGGCGACGAUACAUAGCCGACCUGAGAGGGUGAUCGGCCACACUGGGACUGAGACACGGCCCAGACUCCUACGGGAGGCAGCAGUAGGGAAUCUUCGGCAAUGGGGGCAACCCUGACCGAGCAACGCCGCGUGAGUGAAGAAGGUUUUCGGAUCGUAAAGCUCUGUUGUAAGUCAAGAACGAGUGUGAGAGUGGAAAGUUCACACUGUGACGGUAGCUUACCAGAAAGGGACGGCUAACUACGUGCCAGCAGCCGCGGUAAUACGUAGGUCCCGAGCGUUGUCCGGAUUUAUUGGGCGUAAAGCGAGCGCAGGCGGUUUGAUAAGUCUGAAGUUAAAGGCUGUGGCUCAACCAUAGUUCGCUUUGGAAACUGUCAAACUUGAGUGCAGAAGGGGAGAGUGGAAUUCCAUGUGUAGCGGUGAAUGCGUAGAUAUAUGGAGGAACACCGGUGGCGAAAGCGGCUCUCUGGUCUGUAACUGACGCUGAGGCUCGAAAGCGUGGGGAGCGAACAGGAUUAGAUACCCUGGUAGUCCACGCCGUAAACGAUGAGUGCUAGGUGUUGGAUCCUUUCCGGGAUUCAGUGCCGCAGCUAACGCAUUAAGCACUCCGCCUGGGGAGUACGACCGCAAGGUUGAAACUCAAAGGAAUUGACGGGGGCCCGCACAAGCGGUGGAGCAUGUGGUUUAAUUCGAAGCAACGCGAAGAACCUUACCAGGUCUUGACAUCCCGAUGCUAUUUCUAGAGAUAGAAAGUUACUUCGGUACAUCGGUGACAGGUGGUGCAUGGUUGUCGUCAGCUCGUGUCGUGAGAUGUUGGGUUAAGUCCCGCAACGAGCGCAACCCCUAUUGUUAGUUGCCAUCAUUCAGUUGGGCACUCUAGCGAGACUGCCGGUAAUAAACCGGAGGAAGGUGGGGAUGACGUCAAAUCAUCAUGCCCCUUAUGACCUGGGCUACACACGUGCUACAAUGGUUGGUACAACGAGUUGCGAGUCGGUGACGGCAAGCUAAUCUCUUAAAGCCAAUCUCAGUUCGGAUUGU
rnacentral:rRNA from 1 species